AAAAAUAUACAGAGGUUCAUCUUAGAACUCUAACCUAAAAAGAUUUAGCUACACAUGGUAACUAAAAACAAAUUACUAAAGAUAAAACAUACCCUAGAAAAUCAAGGAGAAGAUAGAAACUCUCCUGAAGCUCCAAAGUUGCCUUCCUCUUGAACUGCCACAGUUCUGAACGAGAAAUUCUGAAUGAGGAAGUCUGGUUUUAUAGUGAGAGCUUCGACCUGAGUUUGGGCUAAAAGUACGGGCUUUACCCAAAACGGAAGCAGGAAAAGACAGCUGUCCCCUGACUUUUUGCAUGCACGAGGUGCAUGAGAGUAGAGCAAUUUUCAUGCCCUAGGCGCAUGGAUUGCUAAAUUCAUGCCCUAGGCAUUUUUUCCAUGCCGUAGGCGCAUUCUGUCUCUCUUCCGGGCCCAAUCUCCAAUUUAGGUAUUCGUCUUCAAAUAACUUGUCUCGGUACUUUGGGAACAAAAUUCCUCCCAUUUGUAAGUCUUCUAAGGCCUCUUGAAUCUUUAUUAUUGUUUCUUGAAUCUUCACAAUUCUUCAUAUGUUCUUGAUUUGCUGAUUUACAUGAUUUCUUCAUGAAUUACUUGAAAAACCCUCUAAAAUUGCUAUGUUUCGGGAAAACCAUAAUUACAGACUCAAAUAUAAAAACCAUUACAAAAGUCCCAAAAUCAUAGACAAUCGUUCCAAUACUCCUCCUUUUUGUUGCUAAAACCUACUAAAAAUAAAUGAAAAAUAUGCUAAAAAUAACGUAAAAUGAUCUGUCAUCAGGCCCCUAAAAAAAUUGUCUCUAAUAAAAGAAGGAAAAUCAGUCAUCUCCAUAGACCCUUGAAUUGUAUGACUAUGACGAGCAAAUACUCCAUCGUUGGGGAGUGGAGGAUGGUGCACCCUUAGAAUGGGUUAUGUAAGCAUCUAUCUUGUGUUGUUGUUUUUGUUUCUUUGUCAAAUAAGGAGUGAAAGGAGGUUCAGUUUCAUUUUCUUGCAUAUCACGAAUUUGCCUCUUUUGAUAUCCUUCAUAACCUUUUUCAAGUAAGAAUCUUUAUCUUGAGUUGCCUUAAUGUCGUCCACCAAAGAAGAACGAACUUCAACAUGUACUAAAAGUGACUAUCUAUUUAUGGUUUCAAACUCUAUUCCACUAGCAAGAUUCUAAAAUUCCUUCACUAUUGUCCUCCUAAUUCCAGCAAUGUGUGCAAAAGUUCCCAUAGGUUUUCUACUCAAGGCAUAUCAACAGCCACAUUUGAUGUAUUUAAGCUCCACCCUAUAGUCCUCCAAUCCUUUUUUGUUU
rnacentral:lncRNA from 1 species